GACGAACGCUGGCGGCGUGCUUAACACAUGCAAGUCGAACGAUGGAGCCGGAGCUUGCUCUGGUGAAUUAGUGGCGAACGGGUGAGUAACACGUGAGUAACCUGCCCUUGACUCUGGGAUAACUGCGGGAAACUGUAGCUAAUACCGGAUACGACCCUCGGAGGCAUCUCCUGGGGGUGGAAAGAAUUUCGGUCAAGGAUGGACUCGCGGCCUAUCAGCUAGUUGGUGAGGUAAAGGCUCACCAAGGCGACGACGGGUAGCCGGCCUGAGAGGGUGACCGGCCACAGUGGGACUGAGACACGGCCAGACUCCUACGGGAGGCAGCAGUGGGGAAUAUUGCACAAUGGGCGCAAGCCUGAUGCAGCAACGCCGCGUGAGGGAUGACGGCCUUCGGGUUGUAAACCUCUUUUAGCAGGGAAGAAGCGAAAGUGACGGUACCUGCAGAAAAAGCACCGGCUAACUACGUGCCAGCCGCCGCGGUAA
rnacentral:rRNA from 1 species